UUCGAUGGUGGAAAAUGUGGUUUCUUUUA
rnacentral:piRNA from 1 species